UACGUAGGCGGGCAUGCAGGCGUCUUGUGAAAGCCCUCGGCUCAACCGAGGAAUUGCUCGACGAACCGCAUGUCUUGAGGCAGGUAGGAGCUGUCGGAACGAUAGGUGGAGUGGUGAAAUGCGUUGAUAUCUAUCGGAACGCCGAAGGAGAAAUCAGGCAGCUGGGCCUGUCCUGACGCUGAGGUACGAAAGCGUGGGGAGCGAACAGGAUUAGAUACCCUGGUAGUCC
rnacentral:rRNA from 1 species